UACGAAGGGGGCUAGCGUUGCUCGGAAUCACUGGGCGUAAAGGGUGCGUAGGCGGGGCUUUAAGGCAGGGGGGAAAUCCUGGAGCUCAACUCCAGAACUGCCUUUGAUACUGAGGAUCUUGAGUCCGGGAGAGGUGAGUGGAACUGCGAGUGUAGAGGUGAAAUUCGUAGAUAUUCGCAAGAACACCAGUGGCGAAGGCGGCUCACUGGCCCGGUACUGACGCUGAGGCACGAAAGCGUGGGGAGCAAACAGG
rnacentral:rRNA from 1 species